rnacentral:rRNA from 1 species
GAUGAACGCUGGCGGCGUGCCUAAUACAUGCAAGUCGAGCGAACAGACGAGGAGCUUGCUCCUUUGACGUUAGCGGCGGACGGGUGAGUAACACGUGGAUAACCUACCUAUAAGACUGGGAUAACUUCGGGAAACCGGAGCUAAUACCGGAUAACAUGUUGAACCGCAUGGUUCAACAGUGAAAGACGGUCUUGCUGUCACUUAUAGAUGGCUCCGCGCCGCAUUAGCUAGUUGGUAAGGUAACGGCUUACCAAGGCAACGAUGCGUAGCCGACCUGAGAGGGUGAUCGGCCACACUGGAACUGAGACACGGUCCAGACUCCUACGGGAGGCAGCAGUAGGGAAUCUUCCGCGAUGGGCGAAAGCCUGACGGAGCAACGCCGCGUGAGUGAAGAAGGUCUUCGGAUCGUAAAACUCUGUUAUUAGGGAAGAACAAAUGUGUAAGUAACUAUGCACGUCUUGACGGUACCUAAUCAGAAAGCCACGGCUAACUACGUG